UACGUAGGGUGCAAGCGUUGUCCGGAAUUAUUGGGCGUAAAGAGCUCGUAGGCGGUUUGUCGCGUCUGCUGUGAAAACCUAAGGCUCAACCUUGGGCUUGCAGUGGGUACGGGCAGACUAGAGUGCGGUAGGGGUGACUGGAAUUCCUGGUGUAGCGGUGGAAUGCGCAGAUAUCAGGAGGAACACCGAUGGCGAAGGCAGGUCACUGGGCCGCAACUGACGCUGAGGAGCGAAAGCGUGGGGAGCGAACAGG
rnacentral:rRNA from 1 species